rnacentral:lncRNA from 1 species
GUGAUUUAUUUGCUUUCCUGUUGCUCCUUAGAAGGGUGAGCUCCAGAACAAUGCUAUCAAAUCAUACUUCGAACAGCUUCUUUUCUGUUCUAAUGUCAUGUCCACACAUAUUUACAUGCUUGUUCUGUUCCAGUUUCAGCUUCUCUGCUGCUGUACUUGGUAAGUGUCCUUCAGUAGAGCAAGAGGAAUGAAGUGUGCAGGAGCUGGAUAAUGCCCAAGUCAGGGCAUUAUGGUCUUGUGUGCAUACAGUAGGCAAAAAAAAAGUCAUCCCUUUUCUCCGACUUGUUUAUGAAGUGUUGUUACUUUUUCUACACUUCAAAAACAUUAGCUAAAAACAUUACUGAAAGAGUUUCUUGCCUUGGGGCUAUGCAACUUCUGCCUGUGUUUUAAGGCACUUUUAUUGAAUUUUUAAGCAAAUUCUUUUAUUUUAUGUUUUCUCAGGACAAUGCUGUAAUCCUGCAUGGAGGAGGGAGAUGUUACAGACAUAUAUUAUGAUCCAGACCCACCCCAAUACUCGAUGUUACGUCCUGUCUCAUGGACUCCUACAGAAGCACUAAAACCAUGGCACACAAAGGCACCACGGGACUCCCACCAUCAUCAGAGCUUUCCGCCUGCCUCUGGCUCUAGCUGUCAGAACCGCUUCAGCUGAAAUCAAGGUUGAUGUGCAUACCACUAGGUAUAUAAAUUACAUCUGCCUGUGCUUCUGCAGGAUCAAUGCUCAGCCUUCUACAUAUGAAGAGGUAAGAUGUAAAUAAUAAUAAUUUUAAAAAUCACAAUUGAAAUAAUGAUGACUAAAAGUACAUUGCAGUUAGUUAUGCCUUGGGGCUGUGCAGCUAAACCUAUGUAAUCUUUAGAUCAACCCUUGGUGGCUGAGCAGUUGCAUGGGGCUUUGUGGUUCCUUCUCUGGAGUUGGAAACUUCUCUCUGGCCCUAGAGCAAGCACAGUGCAGUGAAUGCUAUUCUGAAGCAUUUCCUCAUCCUCUUUCUUCUCACUCAUAACCAUCUCCAUUUUUGUCC